GCAGUAGCCGCGGGAAAACGUAGGGUGCGAGCGUUAUUCGGAAUUACUGGGCGUAAAGCGUGCGCAGGCGGUUUUGUAAGACAGGCGUGAAAUCCCCGGGCUCAACCUGGGAAUGGCACUUGUUACUGCAAAGCUAGAGUGCGGCAGAGGGGGAUGGAAUUCCGCGUGUAGCAGUGAAAUGCGUAGAUAUGCGGAGGAACACCGAUGGCGAAGGCAAUCCCCUGGGCCUGCACUGACGCUCAUGCACGAAAGCGUGGGGAGCAAACAGGAUUAGAUACCCCCGUAGUCCCUGUCUCUUAUAC
rnacentral:rRNA from 1 species